UACGUAGGGGGCAAGCGUUAUCCGGAUUUACUGGGUGUAAAGGGAGCGUAGACGGCAGCGCAAGUCUGGAGUGAAAUCCCAUGGCUUAACCAUGGUACUGCUCUGGAAACUGUGGAGCUUGAGUGCGGGAGGGGCAGGCGGAAUUCCUAGUGUAGCGGUGAAAUGCGUAGAUAUCACGAAGAACUCCGAUUGCGAAGGCAGCUUACUGGACUGUAACUGACGCUGAUGCUCGAAAGUGUGGGUAUCAAACAGG
rnacentral:rRNA from 1 species